rnacentral:lncRNA from 1 species
UCAAAUCCAAAUUAAAUGUAUAUUUUAUAAAAUUAAAACAAACAAAAAACUUAUCCCGACGGAAUCGUUGCCGUCACCAAUCAAGAGUUUUAUUGGGUGUAUCUUCUACACCCGUACGAGCCUCAAAGGGGACUACAAGGCGGGUGCCGAAGAUGGGGAGCUUUGGACCCCGUCAGGGCAAUGGCUUCUGGUGGGUCUCUGGUUUGAUUGGCUUGAUUUAAAUUUGGGUUUUGUUUGCCUAAUUAAAAAAAAUAUUGGUGUAAACAGAAUUAAAGAAAAUGAUUCAAAUCCUAAUUAUAAUCUAACCACAAAGCCACACGAGCUUGAAAAGUGGGGUGCUAAAGUGGGGUGCUGUUGUUGUUGUCGUCAUCAUCUUGCUUGACCAUUCCAUUUCUUUUG